GUGCCCUUGAGGCGUGGCUUCCGGAGCUAACGCGUUAAGUCGACCGCCUGGGGAGUACGGCCGCAAGGUUAAAACUCAAAUGAAUUGACGGGGGCCCGCACAAGCGGUGGAGCAUGUGGUUUAAUUCGAUGCAACGCGAAGAACCUUACCUGGUCUUGACAUCCACAGAACUUUCCAGAGAUGGAUUGGUGCCUUCGGGAACUGUGAGACAGGUGCUGCAUGGCUGUCGUCAGCUCGUGUUGUGAAAUGUUGGGUUAAGUCCCGCAACGAGCGCAACCCUUAUCCUUUGUUGCCAGCGGUCCGGCCGGGAACUCAAAGGAGACUGCCAGUGAUAAACUGGAGGAAGGUGGGGAUGACGUCAAGUCAUCAUGGCCCUUACGACCAGGGCUACACACGUGCUACAAUGGCGCAUACAAAGAGAAGCGACCUCGCGAGAGUAAGCGGACCUCAUAAAGUGCGUCGUAGUCCGGAUUGGAGUCUGCAACUCGACUCCAUGAAGUCGGAAUCGCUAGUAAUCGUGGAUCAGAAUGCCACGGUGAAUACGUUCCCGGGCCUUGUACACACCGCCCGUCACACCAUGGGAGUGGGGCAGCCGAGAAUAUUCAUCAGGGUCGAUUUACCGGAACCCGAAGCGCCGACAAUCGCCACCAUCUCACCCGCAUAAAUAUCGAGGCUG
rnacentral:rRNA from 1 species